AGACGGAGGGGGCAAGCGUUGUUCGGAAUUACUGGGCGUAAAGGGCGCGUAGGCGGCCGGCCAAGUCAGGGGUGAAAGCCCCGGGCUUAACCUGGGAAUUGCGCUUGAUACUGCGAGGCUAGAGUUCGGGAGAGGAGAGCGGAAUUCCCAGUGUAGAGGUGAAAUUCGUAGAUAUUGGGAAGAACACCAGUGGCGAAGGCGGCUCUCUGGACCGAUACUGACGCUGAGGCGCGAAAGCGUGGGGAGCAAACAGGAUUAGAAACCCCGGUAGUCC
rnacentral:rRNA from 1 species